rnacentral:lncRNA from 1 species
GGCUGCUCAUAGUGAACCAUAAAGUCCAGCAUUCAUAGCAAAUGCAGAUACCGCUCCGUUAGGUAGAUGGGGCAUGCCCACAAACUUGGUUGAUGGCGUUGUUUACUUCGAACAACCAACACAUAGUACUCUCAGAACUUCUCUUCUUUUAUGUUUGUUUUUCAAUAACGUUUGUCAUCAUGUUCUGUCUGGCUGUGCUAAUUACAAACAAGCAUGAAAGUUAUCUGGAGUCCACCCUGCUGAAAAAAAUACAAAGCGGCGGCAUUUUGUGUACACACGCAUGAGGGAGCGGACACACCUUGCGGUUAUGGAGCACAACAAGAUUGUGGGACAGAAACAUGCAAAGGACACUGAAAACUAUCAAAUCAAGACCACAACAGUAAUGACACAACCACCUCAUUCUUCUCUCUGCAGAUUCUCAAAACACAAUACAAAGACACAUCUACAAAAAUCCCCUGCCAAGGGCUACUAUUGACACAAAUUAUUUGUCAAAGUCAAUGGACUGGGGGAAGUUUACAGACAGGUCUUUGAGAUUAGGAAGGGUGUUUCAGUUGUGCUUAGAGACAGUAAAUGUAUUGUUGUUUAUGAGAACAAUUAAAAGGUGGCAUUUCUCCUCAAUCUCCCAUACACAUAUAUAUACUGUGUAAGAACUGUCCUCCUAAAACUUGUCACACCUUCUGCAGCUCCCCCAGCCCAUUCACUUUGUUGACUGAUCUUUCCUCUCAAAAGCAGCUCCCAAUGUCCCUCAUUGUCCCUAAACAAUUAAGUAAUCCAACAGUGUACGCUGCCAUCUUAUCUAUUUCAAAACAGGUGGGUGUCCACCCCAAAGUGUUGCAUAUCAUGAUGACAGACACCUGUCUUGGAUUACUUCAUGGAGCAAAAAAAGUAUUUAUUUUAAUAACUGAGCAUUUUCUAAAUUCAAACUGAUCCCUUGCAACUGGACACAGACAUUUUAUGAGACUGCUGUUUUCACGAAUCGACAACGAAGACUAAGAGAAGUGGUGAUCAGCAGAUGAUGGGAGAGGUGGUCAUGAUGAAAUUGCCAUUACAAAGGAACAUACAGUAAGUUCAGGGAACACUUAUACAGCUGUGGGAGGAGUGUUGUCAUGAUCAAACUGCCAUCAAACAGCUCCUCUUGAGUCAUCUUCUUGAAAUCCAGCAUAAUGUCCAAUCCAUCGAGAAGGAUACAGUUCACGGGAUACAGUUCUGCUACAAUGACACACGCAUGCAAAGAAAAUCUGUUUCUGUCCAAGAAUCCACUCCAGGAAGAAGCCCAGCCACCACACUGUAUUAUCUGCAAGACAAAAGAAUAUAUAAUAAAUUAUACUCCAUUGCACAGUUUGAACGACAGUUGAACUGUGCAGCAUAACAUUAGGGUAGACAAGUUGAACAUGCAUACAUGUGGACAGGCACAGAGAUUACAUUUACAACAAUAUCUAGCCUAAUAGAAAUAAAUAUGGCAUAACCCUCAACCUUUGCACAGUGACCAUUCAGGAAUUGUGUACAGAUCCUUGC